rnacentral:lncRNA from 1 species
GGGAUUUCGCCUCUGUAAGUGGUCUUCGUGUGAUUCUAGAUGUCUUCCAGGGCUUCUUCUUCUAGUGGCUCUAGGAGUUCGUCUGUCUCGGUCUCCCAGAGUCCUCAGGCGGUAGAUGAACCGGUAGGUAGAGCUGAACCUCGUCCAAUUUUUGCACCGGAUGCCAUUUCUUAUUCUCUGACUCCGGACGAACUCCAACUGAUA